rnacentral:rRNA from 1 species
AUUGAACGCUGGCGGCAUGCCUUACACAUGCAAGUCGAACGGCAGCACGGGGGCAACCCUGGUGGCGAGUGGCGAACGGGUGAGUAAUGCAUCGGAACGUGCCCAGUAGUGGGGGAUAACUAGUCGAAAGAUUAGCUAAUACCGCAUACGACCUAUGGGUGAAAGCGGGGGACCUUUACCGGCCUCGCGCUAUCGGAGCGGCCGAUGUCUGAUUAGCUAGUUGGCGGGGAAAAGCCCACCAAGGCUUCGAUCAGUAGCUGGUCUGAGAGGACGACCAGCCACACUGGGACUGAGACACGGCCCAGACUCCUACGGGAGGCAGCAGUGGGGAAUUUUGGACAAUGGGCGCAAGCCUGAUCCAGCCAUGCCGCGUGCGGGAAGAAGGCC